AAAGUUACAAGUUUCAAUUAAAUCAUUAUAAAUAAGGAAAAUGCAGAAUGUGUUUUCUAGUAUCUUGCCGGCAACACUACCUCAAGUCCUCGGCUGUUGCAGGUGUCAUGGGCGGUGGUAGUCACUUUCUACCAGCCUUUUGCCGUCCACUGCUGGACGAAAGCCAUAGAACGCCAACCAUCCAUCUUAUUUUGUAACUAUUUAUUAUUUAUAGUUGUAAAGCAGAUGAAUAGUUAGUUACACACCGAUUUCUGUAUCUCUCUGUCAUCACAAAUUUGACAUUUCACAACCGCUAU